GCCAGCGUAGCUCAGUGGUAGAGCAGCGGUUUCGUAAACCGCUUGUCGUAGGUUCGACUCCUAUCGCUGGCU
rnacentral:tRNA from 1 species